GAUGAACGCUGGCGGCGUGCCUAAUACAUGCAAGUCGAGCGAACGGACGAGAAGCUUGCUUCUCUGAUGUUAGCGGCGGACGGGUGAGUAACACGUGGAUAACCUACCUAUAAGACUGGGAUAACUUCGGGAAACCGGAGCUAAUACCGGAUGAUAUUUUGAACCGCAUGGUUCAAAAGUGAAAGACGGUCUUGCUGUCACUUAUAGAUGGAUCCGCGCUGCAUUAGCUAGUUGGUAAGGUAACGGCUUACCAAGGCAACGAUGCAUAGCUGACCUGAGAGGGUGUUCGGCCACACUGGAACUGAGACACGGUCCAGACUCCUACGGGAGGCAGCAGUAGGGAAUCUUCCGCAAUGGGCGAAAGCCUGACGGAGCAACGCCGCGUGAGUGAUGAAGGUCUUCGGAUCGUAAAACUCUGUUAUUAGGGAAGAACAUAUGUGUAAGUAACUAUGCACAUCUUGACGGUACCUAAUCAGAAAGCCACGGCUAACUACGUG
rnacentral:rRNA from 1 species